rnacentral:rRNA from 1 species
UAAGACGAACCGUGCGAACGUUGUUCGGAAUCACUGGGCUUAAAGGGCGCGUAGGCGGGCCACCAAGUCCGGGGUGAAAUCCUCCAGCUUAACUGGAGAACUGCCUCGGAUACUGGAGGUCUUGAGGAAGAUAGGGGCAUGCGGAACCGUGGGUGGAGCGGUGAAAUGCGUUGAUAUCCAUGGGAACUCCGGUGGCGAAGGCGGCAUGCUGGAUCUUUUCUGACGCUGAGGCGCGAAAGCCAGGGGAGCAAACGGGAUUAGAUACCCCGGUAGUCCUGGCCCUAAACGAUGAGAACUAGGUAGUAGACUAAACAUGGGUUUACUGCCGAAGCAAAAGUGCUAAGUUCUCCGCCUGGGGAGUAUGGUCGCAAGGCUG